rnacentral:rRNA from 1 species
AUGAUGGGUAGGGGAGCUUCCCAUACGGGUUGAAGCAUGACCGUAAGGACAUGUGGACAGUAUGGGAGUGAGAAUGUUGGCAUGAGUAGCGAGAUGUGGGCGAGAAUCCCACAGGCCGUAAACCCAAGGUUUCCAGGGGAAGGUUCGUCCGCCCUGGGUUAGUCGGGACCUAAGCUGAGGCCGAAAGGCGUAGGUGAUGGACAACAGGUUGAUAUUCCUGUACUACCGAUAACCGUUUGAGAGAAGGGAUGACACAGUAGGAUAAGCUAAGCACACUGUUGGUUAUGUGUGCCCAAGCAUUGAGGCAGUCAAAGUAGGCAAAUCCGCUUUGAUAAUGCUGGGAUGUGAUGGGGAGCGAAAUUUAGUAGCGAAGUAGCUGAUUUCACACUGUCAAGAAAAGUCUCUAUCGAGGUUAAGGUACCCGUACCGCAAACCGACACAGGUGGGUGAGGAGAGUAUCCUAAGGUCAGCGAGAGAACUGUUGUUAAGGAACUCGGCAAAAUGACCCCGUAACUUAGGGAUAAGGGGUGCCACCAUCAGGUGGCCGCAGAGAAUAGGCCCAAGCGACUGUUUACCAAAAACAUAGGUUUCUGCUAAGUCGCAAGACGAUGUAUAGGAGCUGACGCCUGCCCGGUGCUGGAAGGUUAAGGGGAUCUGUUAGAG